AUUGAACGCUGGCGGCAGGCCUAACACAUGCAAGUCGAGCGAGCGGCGGACGGGUGAGUAAUGUCUGGGAAACUGCCUGAUGGAGGGGGAUCACUACUGGAAACGGUAGCUAAUACCGUAUACCAUCAGAUGUGCCCAGAUGGGAUUCUCGAGUAGGUGGGGUAAUGGCUCACAUAGGCGACGACCCCUAGCGGGUCUGAGAGGAUGACCAGCCACACUGGAACUGAGAAACGGUCCAGACUACUACGGGAGGCAGCAGUGGGGAAUAUUGCACAAUGGGCGCAAGCCUGAUGCAGCCAUGCCGCGUGUAUGAAGAAGGCCUUCGGGUUGUAAAGCACUUUCAGCGAGGAGGCGUUACUCGCAGAAGAAGCACCGGCUAACUCCGUGCCAGCAGCCGCGGUAAUAC
rnacentral:rRNA from 1 species